rnacentral:piRNA from 1 species
AGAAGCUUGGAACAUGUGUAUGUGA